AUUGAACGCUGGCGGCAGGCCUAACACAUGCAAGUCGAGCGGAGCGGCGGACGGGUUAGUAAUGCCUAGGAAUCUGCCUGGUAGUGGGGGAUAACGUCUGGAAACGGGCGCUAAUACCGCAAACUAUCAGAUGAGCCUAGGUCGGAUUUGCUAGUUGGUGGGGUAAAGGCCUACCAAGGCGACGACCCGUAACUGGUCUGAGAGGAUGAUCAGUCACACUGGAACUGAAGGAGGGUCCAGACUCCUACGGGAGGCAGGGGGGGGGAAUAGUGGACGAUGAGCGAAAGCCUGAUCCAGCAGUGCCGCGUGUGUGAAGAAGGUAUUCGGAAUGUAGAACACUAUAAGUUGGGGGGCGUUACCAACAGAAUAAGCACCGACUAACUACGUGCCAGCAGCCGCGGUAAUAC
rnacentral:rRNA from 1 species